rnacentral:rRNA from 1 species
UUUUUUUCUUUUAAACCCAUUCCUUAAUACUGAAUAUACUGUGGGGACGAAAGUCUCUGCUUUUAACUAGAUAGCAACUUUCAGCAGUGGAUGUCUAGGCUCGCACAUCGAUGAAGAACGCUGCGAACUGCGAUACGUAAUGCGAAUUGCAGGAUUCAGUGAGUCAUCGAAAUUUUGAACGCAUAUUGCACUUCCGGGUUAGUCCUGGAAGUAUGCCUGUAUCAGUGUCCGUACAUUAAACUUGACUUUCUUCCUUCCGUGUAGUCGGUGGAGGAGAUGUCAGAUGUGAAGUGUCUUGCGAUUGGUCUUCGGACCGGCUGCGAGUCCUUUUAAAUGUACUAAACUGAACUUCUCUUUGCUCGAAAAGUGGUGG